rnacentral:lncRNA from 1 species
AGCAUUUUAGGAUUUAAUUUAAUUCAAACCUGCUAAUAAUAUAAUACACACAAGAAAAAUUAGCAGAAAAUAUAUUAACAAAUCUUCACAUUAUAAAACAUAGUUAAAUGAAUCUAAUCAGUCAGUAUGAGGGUGGUGUAUAUUUAUAAUUAAGCCCUUCUCCAAGGGAAUUACAGAAAUCUCUUAAUGAGGAUGAUUACUUGGUAGCCCAUCUAUGCCCAUUUUAAAAUCGCAUCACAGAGAUCAGAGCUUCAUCUAAUGAUAACAUUGCUUUAUCUUGCUAAUCAAGACACACAUUUUUCUUUUAGUGAAAUCAAUUGAGGUUAACUUAUGUAGGAAAAAAAAUAUUUCAGAGAAAGUAGAGGGUUUAAUACCACCUACAAGGAUAGUUCCAUCACCAGCACCACUAUCAGCCACUGAGCAAGGCCAGGGAUUGAACCCACAUCCUCAAAGUAUGCAAGUCGGGUUCGUUAACCAGUGAGCCACGAUGGGGACUCCCAAGAUUCUUUUAAUUAGAAAACUUGAAAGGUUUUCAUCAAAUAUGAAAGUUGAUCAAUAUAAAUCUCUUCCUUUUACUUAUCUCAAGUGGAAAUUAAUGGAUUAAAAUAUUUAUUUGUUUCUAAAGGGCUCGAUGAGUAAGUAUGGGAAAAAAUUCAAACACUUAAAUUUCUAAGGUAAUUUGUUAAUUAUUCUCUUUCUGCUUGUCUUCAGACAUGAAUGAAAACUAUAAAUGUAUUAGAAACAAUAUUUUAAAAUUUGCCUUCUGGUCUUUAAAAAAAUCUCCUAAUUUAUUAAUAUAGCAUAUAUGUUCCCCAUAAAAUUCCUUCCGUAUGGGGGUAAGUAACCCCACAACUAUACCAAAAAGCCCACCUCUGUGGGCUGGCGUUCUUGCACACUUAACAGCUUUCAAAGACAUCAGUUUUUGAAUCACAUUAAAUCAAGAUAGUUAAAAUUGUGAACACAAAGUUAAGUGCCAAAUUUGGACCACAAGCCUAAUAAUUAGUGAUCCUCAAAUUCAAUGAGUUGCUGAAAACACUAAUGUCCAAUAAUAAAGUAUUCUCAGUGCCUUCCUAUGCCUUCACUUUCAGAGUGGUCUUUUCGUCUCACCACCCUGGAGCUGGAUGUCUUCCUUUUAACUGCUGUCAAUUUGCUACUAGAAUGAUGCAGUCAGGCCUGCUCUUCCCAGUCAGUUACCCUCAAAUAAUGUCCCUUCCACUUAGUCUAUGCACAAAAAAAUCUCUGUCUUCCAUCUCUCAUCCCCUAAGGAGUCUCCCUCACAUACAAAUUGACUAAUAUAUUUUGUAACAUUCUAGUUUAAAAUUAUUGAUUUUUAUUUGCAAUAGCAUUAUCCUUUUUUUUUUUUUUUUCUAUUCCGGAAAACACUCUUACCUUUUUAGGUAUCAAAUUCACACUUCCACGCUAAGCAUUGUGGUUCCUAUGGAUACGCAUUUCUGUAUAGUGACAGAAUGCGCAGAGUGAGAUUGAGACUUUUGCUGGUGAUAUUUACCCUUCUCUAGUGAACUCAUUGCAGAACUGCUGGCCUGUUUUUCACUAUCACUGUAAGUAGUUCUCUAGGUCAGCAAAGAAAGCACCAGAAUAUCAAGUUGAAUAAAAUCUGUACUUUCUUUUGUCAAUCCAUCUAUUAAGACAGCCUGUCUAUUGCAUAUUUAGUUAUCAAGCAGCCAUUUUUUCUGUUUGGAAGGUCAGGAAUAUUCUUGUUUGACUUGAUCAGAAAAUGUAGGGGCAGCCAGUUAAAAUACUGUAACUUGCAAUUUAUGAUAAUAAUCCAUUUUAAGUCAACUAGCAAAAUGUCUGUGAGGUUUAUAUUUAUAUAAACCUGAGAACCUGAUACAUUUAUAUUUAUAUACCAUUUCAUUUAUAUAUCACAUACCAGAAAGCAAUACUUAAUCAGAUAAAAACCCAUAGCAUUUCCUUUGUUCUUUCUUCCCAUAUCAUUAUAAUAUCCGUAAUAUUAGUAUUUUGCAUGUUACUACCAAAUAAACAAGCCAGACCUAAUCAUGGAAGAGUCUACACAAAAAGGAGUUUAAAGUUUUCAUUUUGGUUCUUUAGGUCAACCAGGAAAGAAAAUGUGGAUGUUAUUAAAACUAGUUGUAUGCAGCUAAAUAUGCCCUAAUCAAGGCUUUAACACUAUCCUAGACAUCUAAGAGAGAGAGGAAGAAUUAAAAUUUUAAAUGCAUUUUUGGCUAUUUUAACCAUUUUACAUGAACAAUAAGCAUUUUUCUAUUAAAGCAAAAGAAAGAAUAAUUUAAAAUAUUAAUUCUUUUAUGUGGAUUUAUUCUCCUACUGAGGUAGAUUGGACCUAUUCCUGAACACUUCAAAAGAAGAUAAUGCUAACUGAAAGAACCACUUCCAAAUGGAAACCAACCUUACCAGAAUCCCCUCCCCAGGCAGUAGAUGGUUUGUAGGGCUGGCUUAUAUGUAGAUCCUAGGACAAAAUAUUUCAUGGCUACAAGCUGGCCUCUGGCAUCCAACAGCCAACAUUGGUUUACAGGAACAAAACACAAGGAUUGACUUUGAAAAUGAAUUUAACAAGUUGGAGGAAAAAAAAUCAGUAAAUACAGAGAAGUUUUAAAAGAAAGUGGGUAAGAAAAGUGACAGAGGUGGAAAAAGGAAUAGAAAAGUUGAUGAAGAAGAUAAUUUUUAUACCAGAGAGAGGAGGGUUCUUGGUUCUGUGAAGAUUAGGCAGCCUCUUCUGAGGAAAGUUUCAAGGACUGGAUGGGGCACUGGUCUUUGGUGGUUUGGGUGAAGUCAUAUCAGGGCAAGAGUAUGAACUACACAAUGUUUGAGGGUCAUUUAGUGAUAUGGUUUGCAAGAUGAGCAAGAGAAAUUCAGCCAUUUUUCUAGGCUGAUGAUGGGUGAAAUGCUUUCCAAUAUCACAUUUAAUCAGGGUGUUAUAUACGUAACAAAUAUUUGUUGAACAAAUUUGAAGUUCCAGCACUGUUCCAAGUUCUUAGGAUAUACCAGAUAACAAAACACAGUAACCAUUGUCCUUAUUAGCCAACUGUGUCAAAUCUAUGACCUUAUUUAAUCAUCUCAAUAACUCUAUGGCAUAAACAUUAUCAGCUGUAUUCCUUAGAUAAGGCAAAUGAAGAUAUGGAUCUUGCUUGAAAAAUCACUGCUUUAAAAUUUGGCUAAAAAUUUGGUUGUCCUCUAGAGGGUGAACUUUUAACCACUACACCAUCCAGAUUUCCCAAAAAAUGGACUGGAUUUUUCAGUAGAUAAUGAGAUGCACAUUUAAAAUGCUUGCUGGCUUCCUGUGUAGGAGAAGAAGCAUCAAAACUUUUUUUAAAGAUGUGUGUGUGUGUGUGUGUGUGUGUGUGUGUCUCCAAACCUACAUCAUUCAAAGCAGACAUUUAAAGCUACCUUUCAGUAAUUACAUCAAUAGUUCAAAGCCUGCAGAUAAAUUUUUUUUUCUAUUCAGACAGCCAUGUUAUCACAUAUUCCCAGGCCAACCCUUGACAUGACAUAUCAGUUUCCCAUCUUUCUGAAUUAUCUAAACCUCUAAUACUGAAAGAACCUAUUAGCAGUAAAAGCCUAGCUAAUACUGACAAAUUUCCUUGGCUUCUAACAUCAAAUUUUGACUGGAGUGUUUAUUCACAAAGCAAAGAGGCAAAUCUGGGAUCAUGCUCUCAGUUAAACAGAACUUUUCUUCUUCCUGAGACUUUAAACAUAAAAUUAAUUUUAAAAAUAUUGUAGAGAUAAUAUUCCAUUGUUUGUCAAAUCUAUGCCAUUAUAACUCUCUAUUCUUAUGUGUUGGUACACAAGGACAUAGAUAUAUGAGAAUUUCAGCAACUGUCUUGCAGGGUUAAACUGUGCUUCUUAUUGAUUUUGAAAGCUUAUGUGGUAAAAAUCCCUCCAAAGAACAUUUCCCCGGACCUGAAUGACAGCAUAAUGAUUUAUCUUUUGUAUCCAUGACUAACAAAUCCCUACAAAUAGAAAUAGCCUAUGUUAUGUCCUAUUUAGUGCCUAAUAGUUGUAUCUUUAAAACAGAAAUUUCUUAGGUUUGUGUUAGGUUAUUAAACAUGAAUUAAAACUUCCUGUGCAAGAUUUCCAGAAGCCCCUGCUUUCCAUUUUAUGUUUUUAGUUUCAUAGUGACUUAG